rnacentral:ncRNA from 1 species
UUUUUAACGAGGAAUUCCUAAUAAGCGCGAGUCAUCAGCUAGCGUUGACUACGUCCCUGCCCUUUCUACACACCGCCCAUCGCUCCUACCGAUUGAAUGAUUUAGUGAAAUAUUCGGAUCGCGGCUACAUGGGCGGUUCGCUGCCCGCAAAGUCGUGAGAAGUCCAUUGAACCUUAUCAUUUAGAGGAAGGAGAAGUCGUAACAAGGUUUCCAUAGGUUAACCUGCGAAAGGAUCAUUA